AACGCACAUUGCGCCCCCCGGCAUUCCGAGGGGCAUGCCUGUUCGAGCGUCAGAACACCCCUCAAGCCUGGCUUGGUCUUGGGGCUCGCCGGCUCGGCGGCCCCUAAACGCAGUGGCGGUGCUGUUGUGCUCUCCGCGUAGUCAUGUAUCUCGCGACAGAGCGGCGACGGCACCCGCCAGAACCCCCCAGUCUUUGGAUGACCUCGGAUCAGGUAGGGAUACCCGCUGAACUUAA
rnacentral:misc_RNA from 1 species